UUUUAUGGAGAGUUUGAUCCUGGCUCAGGAUGAACGCUGGCGGCGUGCCUAAUACAUGCAAGUCGAGCGAACAGACGAGGAGCUUGCUUCUCUGACGUUAGCGGCGGACGGGUGAGUAACACGUGGAUAACCUACCUAUAAGACUGGGAUAACUUCGGGAAACCGGAGCUAAUACCGGAUAAUAUAUUGAACCGCAUGGUUCAAUAGUGAAAGACGGUUUUGCUGUCACUUAUAGAUGGAUUCGCGCCGCAUUAGCU
rnacentral:rRNA from 1 species